rnacentral:lncRNA from 1 species
GAAAGGAUGAAUGAAAAGUCCGGAGCCGGAGCGCGCCGGGGCCAGAGCCGCGGCAGAGGCAGAGGAGGGAGCUAGGAGGUGAGACCCGCUCCACCCUGCUCGCCUAGGCUCGGCGGAGGCUAAGAGCAGGGCAGCCUCCUCUGCCCGGCGCCCGCUGAGCCCCGGCAUCUGGAACUCAGGGCCCUGGCGCUCCAGGGGCGGGAACUGGCCGGGAGGACCGCGCGGGAGAGCACGGAUGGGCACCCUGGGCUCGAUUGCAUUUGACCUACCUCAGGAUAUCCAAAGGAGAACAGAGGGAAGUGAGGGGUUGAGAACUGACACCCUACAACGCCAGCACCUCAGUGGAAAGGAGGAAUAGAGCCCAGGAGGGAUGUGGGGAAUGUAAAAAGGGCAGCUCUCUGGCAUGUUCCUGACUGAGGAUCUCAUAACAUUUAACUUGAGGAACUUCCUCCUUUUCCAGCUUUGGGAGUCAAGCUUCUCACCUGGGGCGGGUGGGUUCUGCACCACCCUCCCACCCUCCUUCCUCCGUGUGGACGAUAGAGCCACAUCCAGCACCACGGACAGCUCCCGGGCGAUCCCAUGGGAGUAGAAGAGGUGUGAGCAGGUUGCCCAGCUGGUUAGCGGAAAUGCCAAGAUCCAGGCUCCUGAAUUUCAGCCUGGCCCUUUCUAUCUGUCUGAUACCUCCUUUACGAGUCUCUCUGCCUGCGUUGUGUGGAGCGGGCCUGCUGCUGGUUGGGGGAGUUUGCAGGUUGCCCCUAUGCAAAAA